GGUUAAGCGACUAAGCGUACACGGUGGAUGCCCUGGCAGUCAGAGGCGAUGAAGGGCGUGCUAAUCUGCGAUAAGCGCCGGUAAGGUGAUAUGAACCGUUAUAACCGGCGAUACCCGAAUGGGGAAACCCAGUGUGACUCGUCACACUAUCAUUAACUGAAUCCAUAGGUUAAUGAGGCGAACCGGGGGAACUGAAACAUCUAAGUACCCCGAGGAAAAGAAAUCAACCGAGAUUCCCCCAGUAGCGGCGAGCGAACGGGGAGGAGCCCAGAGCCUGAAUCAGCAUGUGUGUUAGUGGAAGCGUCUGGAAAGGCGCGCGAUACAGGGUGACAGCCCCGUACACAAAAGCGCAUGUGCUGUGAGCUCGAUGAGUAGGGCGGGACACGUGGUAUCCUGUCUGAAUAUGGGGGGACCAUCCUCCAAGGCUAAAUACUCCUGACUGACCGAUAGUGAACCAGUACCGUGAGGGAAAGGCGAAAAGAACCCCGGCGAGGGGAGUGAAAAAGAACCUGAAACCGUGUACGUACAAGCAGUGGGAGCACAGGUUUACCUGUGUGACUGCGUACCUUUUGUAUAAUGGGUCAGCGACUUAUAUUCUGUAGCAAGGUUAACCGAAUAGGGGAGCCGGAGGGAAACCGAGUCUUAACCGGGCGUUAAGUUGCAGGGUAUAGACCCGAAACCCGGUGAUCUAGCCAUGGGCAGGUUGAAGGUUGGGUAACACUAACUGGAGGACCGAACCGACUAAUGUUGAAAAAUUAGCGGAUGACCUGUGGCUGGGGGUGAAAGGCCAAUCAAACCGGGAGAUAGCUGGUUCUCCCCGAAAGCUAUUUAGGUAGCGCCUCGUGAAUUCAUCUCCGGGGGUAGAGCACUGUUUCGGCUAGGGGGCCAUCCCGGCUUACCAACCCGAUGCAAACUGCGAAUACCGGAGAAUGUUAUCACGGGAGACACACGGCGGGUGCUAACGUCCGUCGUGAAGAGGGAAACAACCCAGACCGCCAGCUAAGGUCCCAAAGUCAUGGUUAAGUGGGAAACGAUGUGGGAAGGCCCAGACAGCCAGGAUGUUGGCUUAGAAGCAGCCAUCAUUUAAAGAAAGCGUAAUAGCUCACUGGUCGAGUCGGCCUGCGCGGAAGAUGUAACGGGGCUAAACCAUGCACCGAAGCUGCGGCAGCGAACGUAUCACUUAAAGCGAUUCAGCGGGUUACGAUUGACGGAGCGAAGCGACGUCAAAGCGUAUACAAAGUCGAGUCGGUUUAAGGAUACGUUCGUUGGGUAGGGGAGCGUUCUGUAAGCCUGUGAAGGUGGCCUGUGAGGGUUGCUGGAGGUAUCAGAAGUGCGAAUGCUGACAUAAGUAACGAUAAAGCGGGUGAAAAGCCCGCUCGCCGGAAGACCAAGGGUUCCUGUCCAACGUUAAUCGGGGCAGGGUGAGUCGACCCCUAAGGCGAGGCCGAAAGGCGUAGUCGAUGGGAAACGGGUUAAUAUUCCCGUACUUGGUGUUACUGCGAAGGGGGGACGGAGAAGGCUAUGUUGGCCGGGCGACGGUUGUCCCGGUUUAAGCGUGUAGGUGUGUGUUCCAGGUAAAUCCGGUUCACUUUAACACUGAGGCGUGACGACGAGGCACUACGGUGCUGAAGCAACAAAUGCCCUGCUUCCAGGAAAAGCCUCUAAGCAUCAGGUAACAUCAAAUCGUACCCCAAACCGACACAGGUGGUCAGGUAGAGAAUACCAAGGCGCUUGAGAGAACUCGGGUGAAGGAACUAGGCAAAAUGGUGCCGUAACUUCGGGAGAAGGCACGCUGACACGUAGGUGAAGUGAUUUACUCAUGGAGCUGAAGUCAGUCGAAGAUACCAGCUGGCUGCAACUGUUUAUUAAAAACACAGCACUGUGCAAACACGAAAGUGGACGUAUACGGUGUGACGCCUGCCCGGUGCCGGAAGGUUAAUUGAUGGGGUCAGCGCAAGCGAAGCUCCUGAUCGAAGCCCCGGUAAACGGCGGCCGUAACUAUAACGGUCCUAAGGUAGCGAAAUUCCUUGUCGGGUAAGUUCCGACCUGCACGAAUGGCGUAAUGAUGGCCAGGCUGUCUCCACCCGAGACUCAGUGAAAUUGAACUCGCUGUGAAGAUGCAGUGUACCCGCGGCAAGACGGAAAGACCCCGUGAACCUUUACUAUAGCUUGACACUGAACAUUGAGCCUUGAUGUGUAGGAUAGGUGGGAGGCUUUGAAGUGUGGACGCCAGUCUGCAUGGAGCCGACCUUGAAAUACCACCCUUUAAUGUUUGAUGUUCUAACGUGGACCCGUAAUCCGGGUUGCGGACAGUGUCUGGUGGGUAGUUUGACUGGGGCGGUCUCCUCCUAAAGAGUAACGGAGGAGCACGAAGGUUGGCUAAUCCUGGUCGGACAUCAGGAGGUUAGUGCAAUGGCAUAAGCCAGCUUGACUGCGAGCGUGACGGCGCGAGCAGGUGCGAAAGCAGGUCAUAGUGAUCCGGUGGUUCUGAAUGGAAGGGCCAUCGCUCAACGGAUAAAAGGUACUCCGGGGAUAACAGGCUGAUACCGCCCAAGAGUUCAUAUCGACGGCGGUGUUUGGCACCUCGAUGUCGGCUCAUCACAUCCUGGGGCUGAAGUAGGUCCCAAGGGUAUGGCUGUUCGCCAUUUAAAGUGGUACGCGAGCUGGGUUUAGAACGUCGUGAGACAGUUCGGUCCCUAUCUGCCGUGGGCGCUGGAGAACUGAGGGGGGCUGCUCCUAGUACGAGAGGACCGGAGUGGACGCAUCACUGGUGUUCGGGUUGUCAUGCCAAUGGCACUGCCCGGUAGCUAAAUGCGGAAGAGAUAAGUGCUGAAAGCAUCUAAGCACGAAACUUGCCCCGAGAUGAGUUCUCCCUGAGACUUAGAGUCUCCUGAAGGAACGUUGAAGACGACGACGUUGAUAGGCCGGGUGUGUAAGCGCAGCGAUGCGUUGAGCUAACCGGUACUAAUGAACCGUGAGGCUUAACCUU
rnacentral:rRNA from 1 species